AGGCGGGGUACAACCCCU
rnacentral:snRNA from 1 species